GUGCAUGCUUUGGCAGCACAUAUACUAAUAUUGGAAUGAUGGAGAAAACAGCAUGGCCCCUGGUCAAGGAUACAAAUUCAUGAAGAACAUAAGCAAAGAUAU
rnacentral:snRNA from 1 species